rnacentral:rRNA from 1 species
AGAGUUUGAUCAUGGCUCAGGAUGAACGCUAGCGGCAGGCCUAAUACAUGCAAGUCGAACGGUAAGGCCCUUUCGGGGGUACACGAGUGGCGGACGGGUGCGUAACGCGUAUGCAACAUACCUUCAAGCGGGGGAUAUGCCAGGGAAACUUGGUGCAACACCCCAUAGCAUUUCGGGACCGCAUGGUCUUGGGAUUAAAUAUUUAUAGCUUGGAGAUUGGCAUGCGUGACAUUAGCUAGUUGGCGGGGUAACGGCCCACCAAGGCGACGAUGUCUAGCUGGUCUGAGAGGAUGAUCAGCCACACUGGGACUGAGACACGGCCCAGACUCCUACGGGAGGCAGCAGUAGGGAAUAUUGGACAAUGGGGGGAACCCUGAUCCAGCCAUGCCGCGUGAGGGAAGAAGGUCCUCUGGAUUGUAAACCUCUUUUGGCGGGGGACAAACCUGCACUAUACGUGCAGCUGAGGGUACCCGCAGAAUAAGCACCGGCUAACUCCGUG